rnacentral:rRNA from 1 species
CAGUCGCCGCGGGAAUACAGAGGGUGCGAGCGUUAAUAGGAUUUACUGGGCGUAAAGCGUGCGUAGGCGGCUUUUUAAGUCGGAUGUGAAAUCCCUGAGCUUAACUUAGGAAUUGCAUUCGAUACUGGGAAGCUAGAGUAUGGGAGAGGAUGGUAGAAUUCCAGGUGUAGCGGUGAAAUGCGUAGAGAUCUGGAGGAAUACCGAUGGCGAAGGCAGCCAUCUGGCCUAAUACUGACGCUGAGGUACGAAAGCAUGGGGAGCAAACAGGAUUAGAUACCCCCGUAGUCCCUGUCUCUUAUAA